UACGAAGGGGGCUAGCGUUGUUCGGAAUACUGGGCGUAAAGCGCGCGCAGGCGGUCCUUCAAGUCAGAGGUGAAAGCCCAGAGCUCAACUCUGGAACGGCCUUUGAGACUAGAGGACUUGGGUACGGGAGAGGUGAGUGGAAUUCCGAGUGUAGAGGUGAAAUUCGUAGAUAUUCGGAAGAACACCAGUGGCGAAGGCGGCUCACUGGCCCGUUACCGACGCUCAGGCGCGACAGCGUGGGGAGCAAACAGG
rnacentral:rRNA from 1 species